UUAUUUCAAGCUUUCAUGUAUUGAAUAAUUUUUGACAUUUUCGGGAUUUUAAUCAAAUAUAUAUCAGGACAUCUUGAAAGAUUCUUCAACCUUCCGCACGUUUGUGCAGUCGUCAAGAAUUUGGGUGAAAGCCGGCCGGCCAUUGGCUGAGAAGCCCAGUUCCCUUUGUUUGGAGCGCUGUGAUUGGCUCACUGAUUGGGGAUGUAGAGACAAGAUCGUGCAGGGUGCAGUCAGAGACGUGAUAGCUUCGUGGUAGCUGGUCAUCACAUCGUGUCCUACUUAUUUUCAUUGAUUAAUAUAUUAAAAUUACAGUUUAUUAUCAGCGCGUGUGUGAAUUAUGAGGCUAUUUCAAUGUUAUUAUUAGUGGUGUAAUUGAUUUUCCGGCUGUGUGAUAGUUUUGUGUAAAAUUUUUAUGUGAAGUGUCAAGUGAUGAGAACCCAAGGCCGUAACAGAGGUGUGGCAGCAACGCAUCGAUUGGAGCUUGGCUACUGAUUCACUCCUGUCAUGGACCACAGCUUUCUAGUAUGGCAUUUGACAGGUGUGAACCAACAAAUUGGUGGAGGAGAGGAAGAGGAGAUACUUGAGACGAGUUGUGCAAUGUAUUGGUGAAGCCUAGCAGCUUGGCACCUUGGUCUGAUGGAGCACACCCUUCAUCGCAGUGCGGACAGCGUGAGUGAGUCGACAGGCUUCUUCUUCUUCUUCUUCUGCUUCGUUCUCCGUAUCUCUUCUGCUACAUCAUUCUUAUAGCUGGAAGCUGACGACGAUUUGACGUUGUUUCACAAAACUAUAGACAAGGAUAGCAACACCAAUGUUAAUGAGGUGCUGACUUUAUAACGUGGACCGCGCACACUAUAGUAGUCAAUUAUUGUACAUAGCUAAUGGAUUGGUUCAUUCAACAGAUACAGACAAUUAGUUAUUGCAAUAUUUUUGAAAAUUUCAAACUUUCCGCCCCGGGCUGUUUACACAUACAUUGUAGGCUUAAACUGAAUCUGAUCAGCUGGUGUUUAUUAUUCCAAAUACUUAUCAAAGUAAUAUUGAUAGUUUGCAAUGUCAGUUUAAACUCAAUCUGAACAGCUGGUGUUUUGAAUAAAUAAAUUGUUGACAGCUUGCCCAGAGUGAGUUUAAACUGAAUCGAAUCAGCUCGUGAUAAUGCAUCACAUAUUGUGUAGGUACCCUUUGUUAUAAAGUGUGAGUUUAAACUCAUCUGAACAGCUGGUGUUUUGAAUAAAUAAAUUGUGGACAGCUUGCCCAGAGUGAGUUUAAACUGAAUCGAAUCAGCUCGUGAAAUGCAUCACAUUGUGUAGGUACCCUUUGUUAUAAAGUGUGAGUUUAAACUCAAUCUGAUCAGCUGGUGUUUUGAAUAAAUAAAUUGUGGACAGCUUGCCCAGAGUGAGUUUAAACUGAAUCGAAUCAGCUCGUGAUAAUGCAUCACCAUAUUGUGUAGGUACCCUUUGUUAUAAAGUGUGAGUUUAAACUCAAUCUGACAGCUGGUGUUUUGAAUAAAUAAAUUGUGGACAGCUUGCCCAGAGUGAGUUUAAACUGAAUCGAAUCAGCUCGUGAUAAUGCAUCACCAUAUUGUGUAGGUACCCUUUGUUAUAAAGUGUGAGUUUAAACUCAAUCUGAUCAGCUGUUGUUUGGAAUAAAUAAAUUGUGGCCAGCUUGCCCAGAGUGAGUUUAAACUGAAUCGAAUCAGCUCGUGAUAAUGCAUCACAUUGUGUAUAGGUACCCUGUGUUGUAAAAUUUGAGUUUAAACUCAAUCUGAACAGCUGGUGUUUUGAAUAAAUAAAUUGUGGACAGCUUGCCCAGAGUGAGUUUAAACAAAUUCCGAUCAGCUUGUCAUCUGAAUCCAAGUUGUGUGCCGUUUGUAGACAGGGAGUUUGAACGGAUUCGGAACAGCUUAUGCUUUGAACGCUAAAAAUUUUAUCACACAUUACGAUAGAUAAUGAAAUUAUGAGUUCAAAUUUUAGCCAACAGCUGCUCAGAUUCUGUUUAAACUGUGAAAACAGCCUCGAUGAUUAUGGUUCUGAGGAUUCAGAGAGAAUAGCAUAUUUUAUUAAAAUAAUGGUGGCAUGAAAUAUCUGAGAGCUUGAUGCUUAUAUUGAAGGUAAGUUAGGAUGGAUAUCUGCAGCUGAGUGGAGAUCAAUCACAGGUGAGUUCCGAACCGUCGACUGGUCCACACAUAGUUAAUCUACAGGAGAACCCAUUCAGUUGUGCUUCACCAAUGUACAAGUCACUAAUGUACUACCAACUUCAAGUGCCGGUUGCACAACAGCCGGUUAAAUUUCAAUCGUGAUUAAUACCACGAGAACCCGUAUUAUCUAAAAGGCCUUCUCUGAUUGGUUCUCGUGGAAUUAAUCACGGUUAAAAUUUAACCGGCUGUUGUGCAACCGGUCCUAAUUGUUACAAAGGUUAUGCAUGGAAUGAGCUACUCAUGUCUUACAAUAUUAUACAAGAUAGUCGAUUGUUGAAGUGGCUCUGGAAUUCCAUUCAAUCAGUAAUGCAACGUCUAUAAUGUUGUAUUUAUUCAGGGGGCCACAAGUCGCAAGUUAUGAAUUGAUAUUAGUGCCAGUUGCACAAAAGCCGGUUAAAUUUCAAUCGUGGUUAAUUCCAAGAGAACCAAUCAGAGAAGCCGCUCUUUUCAAAAAAGCCUUCU